AUGUGCUUCGAAUUCAGCUCCUGUUCCGGCAGCCGCAUAAAGGACGACUAUGGCGGCGAGCGGUCCAGCCAUGGCGGCUGUGGCGGCCGUCACCGAAGACGCACAGGGGACCGCAGGAACGGGAAUGGCUACAACGGCACCACCGGACACAAGCCGGCGACUAACUACGACCACCAGCCGGCUGUUGAUGAGGCGGGGCGCAAGGCCCACCAUGACGGCGCGUGGAAAGCGGAGCACCAAGGCGCUGGUGGCCACGGCUAUUACAUCGCCUACGCGCCUGACAAAGCCCACGAGACGCCGAAGCUUCCUGCGUGGCACAACAAGGUCGGCGACGAUGCCGGCUACGCCUACAACACGGCGCGCCUCCAUCAGGCUUCUGCUGAUGAUAAGGAGCACGCCGCCAUGGAUUACCACCACUACCCAACCACUACUACCACUCUCGCAAGGUACUAG
rnacentral:rRNA from 1 species